UCUAAGGUUUUAGGAGGAAGGUUCGUCCGCUCCUAGUAAGCCGGGAGCUAAGGCGAGGCGGAAACGCGUAGCCGAUGCACAUACGGUAGAAAUUCCGUAGCCUCUGAAAGAUUUAAGCACAAGGACACUUGAGAAGCGUUUAUCCGGGAGUUGGUAUUCCCGGUCGUAAGGGACCCCGAAUGGGGGAAGUAAAUGUGGAUUGAGGCAAGAAAAGUUGUGUGAAUAUCUGAAGAGCCCGUACCGCAAACCGACACAGGUAGAUAGGAAGAGAAUUCUAAGGCCAACGGGAGAAGGGUUGUUAAGGAACUCGGCAAGUUGACUCCGUAACUUAGGGAGAAGGAGUGCUCGAAAGAGCCGCAGAGAAUAGGCCCAAGCGACUGUUUAGCAAAAACACAGCUCUAUGCUAAAUCGAAAGAUGACGUAUAUGGGGUGACACCUGCCCGGUGCUGGAAGGUUAAGAGGAGAAGUGAGAGCUUUGAAUCGAAGCCCCAGUAAACGGCGGCCGUAACUAUAACGGUCCUAAGGUAGCGAAAUUCCUUGUCAGGUAAGUUCUGACCCGCACGAAUGGUGUAACGAUUUGGGCACUGUCUCAACAACCCGCCCGGCGAAAUUGUAGUACCGGUGAAGAUGCCGGUUACCCGCGACUAGACGGAAAGACCCCAUGGAGCUUCACUGUAGCUUAAUAUUGGAUUUUGGUAUUUCAUGUACAGGAUAGGUGGGAGACUGAGAAGCAAAGGCGUCAGCUUUUGUGGAGUCGCUGUUGGGAUACCACUCUUGAAGUGCUGAAAUUCUAACCUGCGCCCUUGAAUCAGGGCGGGGGACAUUGUUAGGUGGGCAGUUUGACUGGGGCGGUCGCCUCCAAAAAGGUAACGGAGGCGCUCAAAGGUUCGCUCAGCAUGGAUGGAAACCAUGCCAGAGAGUGUAAACGCAAAAGCGAGCCUAACUGCGAGACUGACGGGUCGAGCAGUAACGAAAGUUGGAGUUAGUGAUCCGGCGGUAUGUGAGUGGAAAUGCCGUCGCUCAACGGAUAAAAGCUACCCUGGGGAUAACAGGCUGAUCUCCCCCAAGAGUCCACAUCGACGGGGAGGUUUGGCACCUCGAUGUCGGCUCAUCGCAUCCUGGGGCUGAAUUCGGUCCCAAGGGUUUGGCUGUUCGCCAAUUAAAGCGGUACGCGAGCUGGGUUCAGAACGUCGUGAGACAGUUCGGUCCCUAUCUGUCGUGGGCGAAGGAUAUUUGAAAGGAGCUGUCCCUAGUACGAGAGGACCGGGAUGGACGCACCUCUGGUGUACCAGUUGUCACGCCAGUGGCACAGCUGGGCAGCUAAGUGCGGAACGGAUAAACGCUGAAGGCAUCUAAGCGUGAAGCCGGCCUUAAGAUAAGAUAUCCCAUUACGUAAGUAAGUAAGACCCCUCAAAGACUAUGAGGUUGAUAGGUCUGAGGUGUAAGCAUGGCGACAUGUUAAGCCAGCGGAUACUAAUAGGUCGAGGGCUUUUCCU
rnacentral:rRNA from 1 species